rnacentral:rRNA from 1 species
GACCGCGACCCCAGGUCAGGCGGGACUACCCGCUGAGUUUAAGCU